UUAUCUGAACCUUCGGGGAACGAUAACGGCGUCGAGCGGCGGACGGGUGAGUAAUGCCUAGGAAAUUGCCCUGRUGUGGGGGAUAACCAUUGGAAACGAUGGCUAAUACCGCAUAAUACCUACGGGUCAAAGAGGGGGACCUUCGGGCCUCUCGCGUCAGGAUAUGCCUAGGUGGGAUUAGCUAGUUGGUGAGGUAAUGGCUCACCAAGGCGACGAUCCCUAGCUGGUCUGAGAGGAUGAUCAGCCACACUGGAACUGAGACACGGUCCAGACUCCUACGGGAGGCAGCAGUGGGGAAUAUUGCACAAUGGGCGCAAGCCUGAUGCAGCCAUGCCGCGUGUGUGAAGAAGGCCUUCGGGUUGUAAAGCACUUUCAGUCGUGAGGAAGGUAGUGUAGUUAAUAGCUGCAUUAUUUGACGUUAGCGACAGAAGAAGCACCGGCUAACUCCGUGCCAGCAGCCGCGGUAAUACGGAGGGUGCGAGCGUUAAUCGGAAUUACUGGGCGUAAAGCGCAUGCAGGUGGUUUGUUAAGUCAGAUGUGAAAGCCCGGGGCUCAACCUCGGAAUAGCAUUUGAAACUGGCAGACUAGAGUACUGUAGAGGGGGGUAGAAUUUCAGGUGUAGCGGUGAAAUGCGUAGAGAUCUGAAGGAAUACCGGUGGCGAAGGCGGCCCCCUGGACAGAUACUGACACUCAGAUGCGAAAGCGUGGGGAGCAAACAGGAUUAGAUACCCUGGUAGUCCACGCCGUAAACGAUGUCUACUUGGAGGUUGUGGCCUUGAGCCGUGGCUUUCGGAGCUAACGCGUUAAGUAGACCGCCUGGGGAGUACGGUCGCAAGAUUAAAACUCAAAUGAAUUGACGGGGGCCCGCACAAGCGGUGGAGCAUGUGGUUUAAUUCGAUGCAACGCGAAGAACCUUACCUACUCUUGACAUCCAGAGAACUUUCCAGAGAUGGAUUGGUGCCUUCGGGAACUCUGAGACAG
rnacentral:rRNA from 1 species